rnacentral:rRNA from 1 species
AUUGAAUGCUGGCGGCAUGCUUUACACAUGCAAGUCGAACGGCAGCGGGGAGGAGCUUGCUUCUCUGCCGGCGAGUGGCGAACGGGUGAGUAAUACAUCGGAACGUGUCGAGAAGAGGGGGAUAACCACCCGAAAGGGUGGCUAAUACCCCAUAAAUUCUGAGGAAGAAAGCUGGGGACCUAGGAAUAGGCCUAGCGCUUUUUGAGCGGCCGAUGUCGGAUUAGCUAGUUGGUGAGGUAAAGGCUCACCAAGGCGAAGAUCUGUAGCGGGUCUGAGAGGAUGAUCCGCCACACUGGGACUGAGACACGGCCCAGACUCCUACGGGAGGCAGCAGUGGGGAAUUUUGGACAAUGGGGGCAACCCUGAUCCAGCCAUGCCGCGUGUAUGAAGAAGGCCUUAGGGUUGUAAAGUACUUUUGUUAGGGAAGAAAAGUCAGCUGUGAAUAAUGGCUGAUACUGACGGUACCUAAAGAAUAAGCACCGGCUAACUACGUG